rnacentral:rRNA from 1 species
GACGAACCGUGCGAACGUUAUUCGGAAUCACUGGGCUUAAAGCGCGCGUAGGCGGCUUGGCAAGUCGGAUGUGAAAUCCCCCGGGCUUAACCUGGGAACUGCAUUCGAGACUGCUUUGCUAGAGUAUGGGAGAGGGAGGUGGAAUUUCCGGUGUAGCGGUGAAAUGCGUAGAUAUCGGAAGGAACAUCAGUGGCGAAAGCGACCUCCUGGACCAAUACUGACGCUCAUGUGCGAAAGCGUGGGGAGCAAACAGG